rnacentral:lncRNA from 1 species
CUGACGUCGCCGUCUGAACUGACGUCGCCGUCUGAACUUCCGCCGCACGUUUCACACUAACUCCCCCUAGGUUUGCACAUGCCACCCACGAAGAGGCAACUUCAUGUGGGCAAGUGACUUUCCAAACAUACCCUUGCCUGGCCUAUCACUCAUCUACCCUAAAACGCUUGCCCCAAAAUCCCUUUUUUACAUAUACGGCUUUCAAGCCGGUACAAGGAGACAGUUUUGAGCCCGUCUCCUGUCUCGAGCCCGUCUCCUGUCUCGUUGCGUGGCCGUUUUUCAAGAAAUCUUUCUCUCUACAAAAAUCCCAGGCUUCGUGUUUACCUUUCCAUUGCUCACAGGUGCGUCAUGACUCUCAGAGUCCAACAGGCUGUCUCCAGUUCAUCAUUUUUCCACUACAUGGGCUGAAACACAGUCGAGUCAGCGGAGCCACCUGGGUUGAGAUAAGAGCCAGAGGAAUUGUGAAUUGUCUAAUUGAAGAGAGGUGUGAAUACCUGAACUCUGCACAAACAACAAUCGAGGCAGUGUAUCCUUAGAUGGACACAGACAAGUUGAGAUGAGAACAAUCUCCAUGUUAUCACAGUCACUCAACUGGCUAACUGACUGCCUGCGGGAAAAUAUUUCCCUAAACAUUUAUCCAAGAUGUGCCUUAUUUACUUCAAAAGAUAUGAACUUUCCAUUUCUUUGCUUUUAAAUCUUAGUUGUCUUUACUCAGAAAUGGCUGAAAGAACUCCACAUAUUAUUAAUAGGACUCAAA